AGAGUUUGAUCCUGGCUCAGGAUGAACGCUGGCGGCGUGCUUAACACAUGCAAGUCGAGCGAUGAAGUUUCCUUCGGGAAACGGAUUAGCGGCGGACGGGUGAGUAACACGUGGGUAACCUGCCUCAUAGAGUGGAAUAGCCUUCCGAAAGGAAGAUUAAUACCGCAUAACGUUGAAAGAUGGCAUCAUCAUUCAACCAAAGGAGCAAUCCGCUAUGAGAUGGACCCGCGGCGCAUUAGCUAGUUGGUGGGGUAACGGCCUACCAAGGCGACGAUGCGUAGCCGACCUGAGAGGGUGAUCGGCCACAUUGGGACUGAGACACGGCCCAGACUCCUACGGGAGGCAGCAGUGGGGAAUAUUGCACAAUGGGGGAAACCCUGAUGCAGCAACGCCGCGUGAGUGAUGAAGGUUUUCGGAUCGUAAAGCUCUGUCUUUGGGGAAGAUAAUGACGGUACCCAAGGAGGAAGCCACGGCUAACUACGUGCCAGCAGCCGCGGU
rnacentral:rRNA from 1 species